UUUUUUUUCUCAGGUUGGUCACCUCCGCGUGGCCACUCGGUCCAUGUAGCGUCAGUCCCUCCGCGCAGAUCCCGGAUGGAGCGGCCAUUGGGCGGAAGUGAACAGAGGUGCACAAUAACUGCGGGCUAGGAGGAGGAAAAAAUAUAAUAUACACUUUGAAAUAAAUUUACACUCGGCGUGUGACAGCAUUGGAUUAAACCCCAAAACCGCGGACCCUCUGAUACUCUCGGAAACAUCCUCAGGCUGGACUUCUAGUGCACUCGAGAGGACCGGAUCGCCGGAGUCAAGUCGUGGAACUUGGUGAAAAAAAGCGCAGUUCAGCCUGCACGGAGCCGAGAGGAACCCACAGGCUUCGGGUUACGCCUAGCACUCUCGCUGCUGCUUCUUUUUUCUUUGCAAGACUCUUGCUGAAUCUAAAGAGGCCCUCUUGAUGAAUUAUGUCUACCAGCAGUAUUGACCCACAGACAUCCAAAGGACAAGACGCUAAAGUGCAAAAUGGCUCUCUUCAUCAGAAGGAAACGGUCCACGACAAUGACUUUGAACCAUACCUCACUGGCCAGUCUAAUCCGAAUAACAGUUACCAAUCAAUGACCGACCCAUACCUGUCUAGCUACUAUGCCCCCUCGAUUGGGUUCCCGUACCCCCUCAGCGAGGCCCCCUGGUCCACCGGCGGAGAUCCGCCAAUCCCGUACCUCACUCCAUAUGCCCCCCUCAGCAAUGGGGAUCAUCACUUCAUGCAUGACACUGUGUUCGGACAGCCAGGUGGUCUGGGAAGUAGCAUCUAUCCACACCGCUUUAACUUUUUCCCUGAAAACCCAGCAUUUUCCGCCUGGGGUACAAGCGGCUCCCAAGGCCAGCAGACUCAGAGUUCUGCAUACGGGGGCAGUUACAGUUACCCGCCCAGUUCAUUAGGUGGCACCCUGGUACCCGACGGGCAAACAGGCUUCCCAAGCGACACCCUGAAUAAGGCGCCAGGUAUGAAUAGUUUAGAGCAGGGCAUGGUAGGGUUGAAGAUUGGCGGUGAUGUGACUGGAGGUGGUUCUGGAGUGAAGACGGUGGGCUCGGUGAUUGGUGGAGGGCCGGUGGCGGCAGCUGUGGCCACGGGUAAUGGCGGGACUCCAAUCGGGAUGCCUCCUCCCAAACCCACGUCUUGGGCAGCCAUUGCGAGCAAACCAGCCAAGCCUCAGCAACUGAAAGUGAAGAGCAAGCUGGGGAUGCCCAUGGCUGGAGGCACCCUGCCCCCACCACCCAUCAAACACAACAUGGACAUUGGCACCUGGGAUAAUAAGGGGCCUGUGACUAAAGUAGCCUCACCACUGCCACCCCACCACCAGCAGCAGCCUCCGCUCCACUCCCAGGGUCACCUACCACCUCACCAUCAUGGGCUCCCGCCCCCACCUCAGCCCCCUAUGCCGUCUGCCCAAUCGCUUGCUCAACAGAUGGUGAUGCAGGGUCCGCCCCCUCCACAGCCUUACCAGAACCACACCCCUGCUCCUCCCCCUCAAACCCGGUGGAUUGCCCCACGUAACCGUAACCCUGGUUAUGGUGGGGGUGGCAGCAUGGACAGUAGUGGCUCAUCAAGCGGUGGAGGAAUCGGCAAUGGUGGUGGCGGCGGACCUCCGGGUUCCGGUGCUAUUGAAUCCCACCCGGUCCUUGAAAAGUUGCGUGCGGCGCACAGCUACAAUCCCAAGGACUUUGAUUGGAACCUGAAAAAUGGCCGGGUUUUCAUCAUUAAGAGCUACUCGGAGGACGACAUCCACCGCUCCAUCAAGUACUCCAUCUGGUGCAGCACGGAACAUGGUAACAAGCGGCUGGAUUCUGCAUUUCGCGGCAUCAACGGCAAGGGUCCUGUCUAUCUGCUGUUCAGCGUCAACGGCAGCGGACACUUCUGCGGCGUGGCAGAGAUGCGCUCACCUGUAGACUACGGCACCAGCGCCGGCGUUUGGGCGCAGGACAAAUGGAAGGGCAAAUUUGAUGUGGACUGGCUGUUUGUUAAAGACGUGCCCAACAGCCAGCUCAGGCACAUCCGUCUAGAGAACAAUGACAACAAGCCCGUGACCAACUCCCGUGACACGCAGGAGGUGCCUCUGGAGAAGGCCAAGCAGGUGCUGAAGAUCAUCGCCACCUACAAACACACCACCUCCAUCUUCGAUGACUUCUCACACUACGAGAAACGGCAGGAAGAGGAAGAGGUGGUAAGAAAGGAUGGAUUGGCCAUCAUUGAGCACUGCAAACACACGUAAUUUGGACAACCGGUUUAGAAACACUUCUCGUUCACCUAGAGCCUGCUCCUCUCCAGAACCGAUCCCGACUUGAUCAAGAACGCCAGAACCGAAAUAAACAAUAGAAGGCUGCCCCCUACAUAUGAUGAGCAGUUGUUUUAGGACUGACCGUUUGGAAAUUACAUUUAAAGAGGACACAAGAUGAAAUUUCAAAAAAAAAUAAACAAUCAUUAUGUUUUUCUAUUUAAUUCUGGUGACUUCAGCCAGCAUCAGACUCGAGCCUCUGCGCCUCCGGCUUCACCUGUGGGGGCUGAAGUCGAUUAGCACCUCUCAACGCCGCGUCAUCAUUUUGAUUUAUUUAGAUUUUUUUUCUGUGUUCUGUUGUUUGGUAUUGUUUUCAUACAACCCCCCCCCCCCAUUUGACCAACUGAUAUCUGCACAAGUCUUUUAUUUCAUCCUGUAUUUUUGUUUUUCUUCAGCCCCACUGCUCCACAUCAUGCCCUUGAGAGUUGGUUAAAUGAAUAGUUAGUUAAUUCUGUGUAUGUAUGUAUGUGUGUGUGUCAGGGAUGAUGGCGGAGUGUAUGUUAAUCAUGUGAUAUGGCAGAGGUAAGGGAGUGGGGGGUGUUCAGACUCCGCUUUGGUUGAGUGGGGGGGGGGGGUGCAUCUCCAGCAUCAGUGACUGUAAUGGGCCAGUUUUAUGUUCUUUAGAUCCAGAGUGGUUUGAAUCCCAUUCGUGGAGAAUCGUGCAACUGCAUAGAAGGGACAAUGACAUGUCUUGACAUGAGAUGAUGUUAUAAAAAAAAAACCUUUUUGAAUUAUGUAACACUUGACUUUUUUUGUUCAGUGACGAGCCGCUUAUGUUACAGGUUUUGUUUUUUAUUUUCUGUUUUGACUGCUUGGAGCCUUAACAUUUUAAAGCUAUGGAAACCGUUUAAUAAUGGCUGUUCUAUACCUCAGUUGAAACAGCGUUAUCAGGGAGACGACAUCCUUAACAUGCAUCCUUAACUACGGGAAGUCAACAUUGUCACUGGCUGGACUAAAAACUAAACAAAAAAAGCAAAGUAAAAGUAAUGUUUUCAUUGCGGUUCCGAACCUAGUGCUCAGACUCCGUUCACAUACACACUUAAUGUUUAAAGAGCAGAAAUGUAACUUCUUACUGUUCAAACCCCGCCCAGCAGAGGUCGCUGUUUCUUUAAGCCAAUCUGAGAGAUGUAGCAAUUCAUUGCUUUUUAUUUGAAAUCACUUUAGAUGCAUCACCUUUUUUUUUUGUUCUUUGUCCUUUCUUAACAGAUUUCAUUUUAUCGCUCUUUUCCUCCCCAUGUCCUCAGUAUAUUGCUAAGCUUUAACGUAGGAUCAUAUAAUUAUAACAAUAACGAAGAACGCCUCAAAUGUGUAACCUGAAAAUUAAUGUUACUAAAUUACUGUUAAAAGUAAGAAAAACAAACAAACAAAAAAAGAGUAUAUGGUUUCUGUGCGUGAUUUUUUAGGACCUGCUUGCUGUUUUGUGUGUUUGUGUGUGGGAGAGCGAAAUUGAACCGUGCGAGGGUUUCAGAUUUCUAUAGUCAUAUAACAGAAGAUUCAUGAAAAUAUAUGAAAUACUAAAAAUAAAAAAAGUUACAAGACAAACAUUUAAGUCACCCCUGAAAUGAAUAUGCAUUGUAUUGGAAGGUCACUAUCUAUCACAUUCUUAGAUUUGAUCAUGCUCAUUAUUAAAAUAAUACUAUAUGGUGUAA